rnacentral:rRNA from 1 species
UUAAAUUGAAGAGUUUGAUCAUGGCUCAGAUUGAACGCUGGCGGCAGGCUUAACACAUGCAAGUCGAACGGUAGCAGGAAGA